AACUCCGGGAAACCGGGGCUAAUACCGGAUAUGAGCCGUCCUCGCAUGGGGGUGGUUGGAAAGUUUUUCGGUCAGGGAUGGGCUCGCGGCCUAUCAGCUUGUUGGUGGGGUGAUGGCCUACCAACGCGACGACGGGUAGCCGGCCUGAGAGGGCGACCGGCCACACUGGGACUGAGACACGGCCCAGACUCCUACGGGAGGCAGCAGUGGGGAAUAUUGCACAAUGGGCGAAAGCCUGAUGCAGCGACGCCGCGUGAGGGAUGAAGGCCUUCGGGUUGUAAACCUCUUUCAGCAGGGAAGAAGCGCAAGUGACGGUACCUGCAGAAGAAGCGCCGGCUAACUA
rnacentral:rRNA from 1 species